UACGUAGGUGGCAAGCGUUGUCCGGAUUUAUUGGGUUUAAAGGGUGCUUAGGCGGCUUUGUAAGUCAGUGGUGAAAUAUGGCAGCUUAACUGUCAGGGUGCCAUUGAUACUGCGGAGCUUGAGGACUGGAGAGGAGACUGGAAUUCAUGGUGUAGCAGUGAAAUGCGUAGAGAUCAUGAGGAAGACCAGUGGCGAAGGCGGGUCUCUGGACAGUUCCUGACACUGAGGCACGAAGGCCAGGGGAGCAAACGGG
rnacentral:rRNA from 1 species